AUUGAACGCUGGCGGCAUGCUUUACACAUGCAAGUCGAACGGCAGCGCGGGCUUCGGCCUGGCGGCGAGUGGCGAACGGGUGAGUAAUACAUCGGAACGUGCCCAGUAGUGGGGGAUAGCUCGGCGAAAGCCGGAUUAAUACCGCAUACGACCUGAGGGUGGAAGCGGGGGAUCUUCGGACCUCGCGCUAUUGGAGCGGCCGAUGGCAGAUUAGCUAGUUGGUGGGGUAAAGGCCUACCAAGGCGACGAUCUGUAGCUGGUCUGAGAGGACGACCAGCCACACUGGGAAUGAGACACGGCCCAGACUCCUACGGGAGGCAGCAGUGGGGAAUUUUGGACAAUGGGCGAAAGCCUGAUCCAGCAAUGCCGCGUGUGUGAUGAAGGCCUUCGGGUUGUAAAGCACUUUUGGCGGGAACGAAAAGGACUGUGCCAAUACCACGGUUCGAUGACGGUACCCGCAGAAUAAGCACCGGCUAACUACGUG
rnacentral:rRNA from 1 species